AUUCUACUCCCUCCGUUGCACAAUACAUGCCUUCUAUUUGUCAAAAUAUAUAUGUAUCUAGACAUGUUUUAGUAUAUAGGUACAUCCAUUUUUGGACAAAUGGAAGUCAAGUAAUUUGGAACGGAGGGAGUACACA
rnacentral:pre_miRNA from 1 species